rnacentral:rRNA from 1 species
CGACAGCUAGAGGUGAAAUUCUUGAAUUUGUCGAGGACAAACCAAGGCGAAAGCAUAUACCUAAUCAGUUUCCAUUGAUCAAGAACGAAAGUUAGGGUAUCGAAGACGAUUAGAUACCGUCCUAGUCUUAACUUUAAACUAUGCCAUCUAGAAAUUGGCGUAUAUGACAUUGUGAUGAUGUCAGUUUCUCUUGAGAAAUUAAAGUCUUUGGGUUCCGGGGGGAGUAUGAUCGCAAGGUUGAAACUUAAAGGAAUUGACGGAAGGGCACCACCAGGAGUGGAGCUUGCGGCUUAAUUUGACUCAACACGGGAAAACUCACCAGGUCCAGACAUAAGAAGGAUUGACAGAUUGAUAGUUCUUUCUUGAUUUUAUGGGUGGUGGUGCAUGGCCGUUCUUAGUUGGUGAAAUGAUUUGUCUGGUUAAUUCCGAUAACGAACGAGAUUUUAACUUACUCAAUAGAGAUUUUUUAUCACGAUAAAAAUCUCUUCUGAGAAGGACAUAACACACUUAAGUGUAGGGAAGAUUAAAGUAAUAACAGGUCUGUGUUGCCCUUAGAUGUCCUGGGCUGCACGCGUGCUACACUGAUUUCGUCAAAAUGUUUGUUUUUCGGAAGGAGGAAUAAAACACGAAACGAAAUCGUGCUGGGGAUAGAUGAUUGUAAUUAUUCAUCUUGAACGAGGAAUUCCUAGUAAAUGUAAAUCAUCAAUUUGCGUUGAUUAAGUCCCUGCCCUUUGUACA